rnacentral:tRNA from 1 species
CAGAGAAUAGUUUAAGUAAAAUAUUAAUUUUGGGGAUUAAUGAUAAAGAUGAUUCUUUUUCUCUGA